rnacentral:rRNA from 1 species
GAUGAACGCUGGCGGCGUGCUUAACACAUGCAAGUCGAACGAUGAAGCCCAGCUUGCUGGGUGGAUUAGUGGCGAACGGGUGAGUAACACGUGAGUAACCUGCCCUUAACUCUGGGAUAAGCCUGGGAAACUGGGUCUAAUACCGGAUAGGAGCGUCCACCGCAUGGUGGGUGUUGGAAAGAUUUAUCGGUUUUGGAUGGACUCGCGGCCUAUCAGCUUGUUGGUGAGGUAAUGGCUCACCAAGGCGACGACGGGUAGCCGGCCUGAGAGGGUGACCGGCCACACUGGGACUGAGACACGGCCCAGACUCCUACGGGAGGCAGCAGUGGGGAAUAUUGCACAAUGGGCGCAAGCCUGAUGCAGCGACGCCGCGUGAGGGAUGACGGCCUUCGGGUUGUAAACCUCUUUCAGCAGGGAAGAAGCGGAAGUGACGGUACCUGCAGAAGAAGCGCCGGCUAACUACGUGCCAGCAGCCGCGGUAAUACGUAGGGUGCGAGCGUUAUCCGGAAUUAUUGGGCGUAAAGAGCUCGUAGGCGGUUUGUCGCGUCUGUCGUGAAAGUCCGGGGCUUAACCCCGGAUCUGCGGUGGGUACGGGCAGACUAGAGUGCAGUAGGGGAGACUGGAAUUCCUGGUGUAGCGGUGGAAUGCGCAGAUAUCAGGAGGAACACCGAUGGCGAAGGCAGGUCUCUGGGCUGUAACUGACGCUGAGGAGCGAAAGCAUGGGGAGCGAACAGGAUUAGAUACC